rnacentral:rRNA from 1 species
GAUGAACGCUAGCGACAGGCUUAACACAUGCAAGUCGAGGGGCAGCACAGGUAGCAAUACCGGGUGGCGACCGGCGCACGGGUGAGUAACGCGUAUGCAACUUACCUAUCAGAGGGGGAUAACCCGGCGAAAGUCGGACUAAUACCGCAUGAAGCAGGGGUCCCGCAUGGGGAUAUUUGCUAAAGAUUCAUCACUGAUAGAUAGGCAUGCGUUCCAUUAGGCAGUUGGCGGGGUAACGGCCCACCAAACCGACGAUGGAUAGGGGUUCUGAGAGGAAGGUCCCCCACAUUGGUACUGAGACACGGACCAAACUCCUACGGGAGGCAGCAGUGAGGAAUAUUGGUCAAUGGCCGAGAGGCUGAACCAGCCAAGUCGCGUGAGGGAUGAAGGUUCUAUGGAUCGUAAACCUCUUUUAUAAGGGAAUAAAGUGCGGGACGUGUCCCGUUUUGUAUGUACCUUAUGAAUAAGGAUCGGCUAACUCCGUG